GUGAGUAUAAGAGAGGGUGGUGUUGGAAAGGGUGAGACUCAACUUUUGAAGCCCUUUUCUGCUCUGUUAGAAGGUCUGCAAGCUGCAUGGGCUAAGCGUGAAGAGGGCCUGUGUUCUGUUGGAGGGACAGUUCUCAGCUAGAAGAAAGCUGCAGCGUGUCCAAAGAACCUCAUUCAAAGGAAAAAAACAGCAUGACUGGAAGAACAAUGUAACCCCCGAGUGAGUCUAAUUUUCCAGUAGGAGCGCUUCAGGAUUAUAAAGGCCUGCAAAGCAGAGAUGUUCAACAGAAGUCUAGUGUCAAGAUCAUGUGAUGUGAUGGUAUCGCUUUGCUUUGCUCUGGCGAGAGAAGAAACUCCGAAGGGCAGCUGCCACGCAGUACCGGAUGCAGAAGUCCAAAAAUCCACAGCUCGUAAAGACUGGAAUGCGGGGCGUGGGAGUGCUAGACUUACUUGGAGGACGCGGUGGUGGGUGCGAAACAGGCUUCAAGAGCUGAGACAGAAAGACAACACGUAAAUGGGCGGCAAUCGAAGGCUAUGGAGCUGCAGGAGGUCGUGGAAGUGAAGGCUCUGGGGAGUUUUCAGUCCCUUAAGGUAUUCCACGCUUCUUCCUUCAAAUUUCCAUUUUCACGUACAAAAAUAAUAAAGCAAGUUGGCUCAUU